CAAGCGGUGGAGCAUGUGGUUUAAUUCGAUGCAACGCGAAGAACCUUACCUGGUCUUGACAUCCACAGAAUCUUGCAGAGAUGCGAGAGUGCCUUCGGGAACUGUGAGACAGGUGCUGCAUGGCUGUCGUCAGCUCGUGUUGUGAAAUGUUGGAUUAAGUCCCGCAACGAGCGCAACCCUUAUCCUUUGUUGCCAUUGGUUCGGCCGGGAACUCAAAGGAGACUGCCGUUGAUAAAGCGGAGGAAGGUGGGGACGACGUCAAGUCAUCAUGGCCCUUACGACCAGGGCUACACACGUGCUACAAUGGCGUAUACAAAGGGAGGCGACCUCGCGAGAGCAAGCGGACCUCAUAAAGUACGUCUAAGUCCGGAUUGGAGUCUGCAACCCGACUCCAUGAAGUCGGAAUCGCUAGUAAUCGUGAAUCAGAAUGUCACGGUGAAUACGUUCCCGGGCCUUGUACACACC
rnacentral:rRNA from 1 species